UCAGUCGGCCGGACGGCCGCUCUCGCUACGGUCGAAAGGCUGCGAGGGAGGAAAGUCCGGGCUCCAUCGACAUACGGUGCCGGAUAACGUCCGGCGGGGGCGACCCCAGGGAAAGUGCCACAGAGAACGAACCGCCCGGCGAAGUCCGCAAGGACGAAGCCGGGUAAGGGUGAAAAGGUGCGGUAAGAGCGCACCGCGUUUCCGGCAACGGAAACGGCAGGGUAAACCCCACCGGGAGCAAAACCGAAUAGGGACGGCAUCGCGGACAGUUCGCUUUCGGGCGAUAACUCCGCAGGGCGAUGUCAAGCUCGCCGUCCGGGUAGGUUGCUAGAGGCAGCGUGCAAACGUUGUCCCAGAGGAAUGGCCGUCGCGUAUCGCUCGUGCAAGCGGGCGGUGCCCUCCAGAACCCGGCUUACAGGCCGGCUGAUACU
rnacentral:RNase_P_RNA from 1 species